rnacentral:rRNA from 1 species
AGUGAACGCUGGCGGUAGGCCUAACACAUGCAAGUCGAACGGCAGCACAGUAAGAGCUUGCUCUUCCGGGUGGCGAGUGGCGGACGGGGGAGGAAUACAUCGGAAUCUACUUUUUCGGGGGGGAUAACGUAGGGAACCUUACGCUAAUACCGCAUACGACCUACGGGUGAAAGCAGGGGAUAUUCGGCCCUUUCGCGAUUGAAUGAGCCGAUGUCGGAUUAGCUAGUUGGCGGGGUAAAGGCCCACCAAGGCGACGAUCCGUAGCUGGUCUGAGAGGAUGAUCAGCCACACUGGAACUGAGACACGGUCCAGACUCCUACGGGAGGCAGCAGUGGGGAAUAUUGGACAAUGGGCGCAAGCCUGAUCCAGCCAUACCGCGUGGGUGAAGAAGGCCUUCGGGUUGUAAAGCCCUUUUGUUGGGAAAGAAAAGCAGCAGGUUAAUACCCCGCUGUUCUGACGGUACCCAAAGAAUAAGCACCGGCUAACUUCGUG